rnacentral:lncRNA from 1 species
AUCGCUAGCCGGAAAGUAGCGCUCUAUCUAUUGUUUGAUCCUAAUUCAGCGGAGGCUCAUCUCAAGCUUCUGGUUGGUGAUUAUACCAACUACACCAUCCUUUCCAGAUGGAUCAUCUAUUCUACAACUACUCUUAGUCUUAGCAUCCAUAACCAUUAUAACUUUUUGAACUAACCACCAAUAAAAAACUAUAAUUAACUAGAUUAAAAGAUUUAGGCCUAUUACAUCUUAGAUAUAAAACUUUUUCAAAUCUUAAGAAUGCCAUAAUAGUUCAAAAAAAUCCAAUACAUUUUUACCAAACCAAA